ACUAGGCGGCAGUCAGGAGAAGAUCUUUUACAGUAACAUAUCAAUAAUAAUCAUGGCAGAAAGUGCUUGGUUGUGAUCAGCGUUUGAGAUGUAUUGAGAUGUAGGCAGUCCUACGUCCCGUUUCGUUAGUUUCAUGUAGGUAAAACCCUUCUUCUGCAGCUCUGUUGGAGGGUUAUGAUACCACUCGAUUAUCCACUCAUUUCCUCUUUAUGAAACCGUUAUUUCUCUAUAAGCUUAUACGAAGAUUCUGCAAUGUGUUUCCUAAUUUUUAACUACCUUUCGUAACCUUUUUAGUUUUUUGUAAAGCUGCUUAUGCAAAUUUAAUCUUCUGUAGCUAAUUUGGGUUAGGGAGAACUAUUAUCAGUUCACUCUCACUGAAUCUGAACUGGUCUCAGCCAGUUCUGUCACAACAAAUUUUAUAAAGCUCCAAACAUGUUUUUUACAGGUAAAUUAGCAGAGGGAAUGGUGAGAGAUGUUUCCUUGUGAUGUACCUUGCUCAUAAUUCCAAUUGGUUUUUGAUCCUCUUCAACAAAUCAUCGGUAAAGAGUCAUGUGGCAUUUGGGUGAACGUAUUUGCUGUAUUAUUGAUUCAUGCAGGUGAACAAAGAUAAGUUGAUGCAAGCCCCUCACUGAAAACUUAUCAUUAUUAAAUACUGAUUUUAAAAUUGUUUUGUUUUAACCACUUUUUUUCUUUUGUUUUAGGAAUGUUAGAAGAGAGGGUGGUUCACCGCUAGCUGGAGUUGAGUUAAUUCGCAGACUGGUGUUAAAACAACACUGUUUAAAAAACUGUGGCCAAUUACACUGGGCAUACAGUCCUAACCGUAUUUUAUUUUACGGUCAGACUAUAUUUUAUUUAACGGUCAGGAACUGUAUUUAAUUUUACGGUUGAACUGUAUUUUGAAAUACAGGCCGGACUGUUUUUAUUUUUAUAGUCUGAGCUGUUACAGUCUGGAUUGUAGUUCAGAAUACAGUCCUGCCUGUAUUUUCAUUUACGGUCCAGACUGUAAACUAAAAACCGUAAAAGGCCGUUAUAGAGGACAAAAUCUACAAAAACCCAUUUGAAAUUUCCACCCACCAGGUCUAAGAUUACAGUCCGACUAAACUUAAAUCUUACAGUCCAGAUUGUAACAGGUCAGCCUGUACAUUUGAAUACAGUCUGACCGUAUUCUACAAAACAGUGCAGACUGUUAGGCGGUAACAGGUCGGACUUUAAAAUUAAAAACAGUCCGACUGUAAAAUUAAAAACAGUCAGGCCAAUAUAAAAAUUUAUUGGCCAUCCUGCACGAAUUACUGUAGGUUUUUUUUAACAGUGAAAGGACUAAACUAGAACUAGAAUGAUGUUCCUUAUGCCCAUUUAUUAUCAGGAGAAUGUUGUUAAUUAUGGAAGGAAGAGAUUCUGGUAGACGACACAACUCCGACUCACUGCAAAUCUUCUAAAAAUAUUGUGACUAUGCAUUUGCUGCGCAUCCAUGGAUCGGCACUAAUGCCUCAUUGAGAAAAGUAUUAGUUCUUGUCCUUGAAAGCACAAUGGCUGUGUUUCCCAACUGCAUUCUGCUGUAGAUUUCUGUCAGAUAUCUCGGUGGUGCCCCAGGCCUGGGGUCCCAUGAGCCUGCCCUGGGCAAACAUAAGCCUUUGCCAAUAUUAGGCAAUAAAGUAGAGCUAUUAUCACAUUCGAAUCAAAGGGAAUGAUAAAUAUAGUCUCUAUUUAUGCGCCUGAUCUGGUAUAAUAGCUUUGUCGCAAGAGAAACAGCCGUAGAAAAAAUUAUUUAUGUUUGUAUUAACCUUAGAGCAGGUUCAAAGUGAAAAAUUCUUCGGAAUCGAAAUUUGAUUAUGGUAAUGCCGUUAAGAGGCAUUUUACUAAAUAAGCACACAAUAUAUGAAGGAAAAAGAAAAAAAAAAGAUUUUUUGAGGCAUACGAUGGGGCGUACGGGACCCUAAGGACCACUACUAAGCCCAUGGGACCCCAGGGUACACUUUUCGGAAUAAAUGUUAA